AAUGAACGUUGGCGGCGUGGAUUAGGCAUGCAAGUCGUGCGUAAAGAGUAGCAAUACUCGGAAGCGGCGUAAGGGAGAGUAAUACAUAGGUAUUUACCCUGGGGUCUGGGAUAGCGGCGGGAAACUGCCGGUAAUACCAGAUGAUAUCUCCGGAUCAAAGGUGUGAUUCCGCCCUAGGAGAAGCCUGUGGUCUAUUAGCUAGUUGGCAGGGUAACGGCCUACCAAGGCAAAGAUGGAUAUGGGGCGUGAGAGCGUGCCCCCACUCACUGGGACUGAGACACUGCCCAGACACCUACGGGUGGCUGCAGUCGAGAAUCUUCGGCAAUGGGCGCAAGCCUGACCGAGCGACGCCGCGUGCGGGAUGAAGGCCUUCGGGUUGUAAACCGCUGUCGAAGGGGAGGAAAUUGUAGUGGGUUCACCCAUUAUGUUGACCGAUCCUUGGAGGAAGGGCCGGCUAAUCUCGUGCCAGCCGCCGCGGUAAAAC
rnacentral:rRNA from 1 species